AUUGAACGCUGGCGGCAGGCCUAACACAUGCAAGUCGAACGAGUAGCGGACGGAUGAGUAAUGUCUUGGAAACUGCCUGAUGGAGGGGGCUAACUACUGGGGACGGUAGCUAAUACCGCAUACCAUCAGAUGUGCCCAGUUGGGAUUAGCUAGUGGGUGGGGUAACGGCUCACCAAGGCGACGAUCCCUAGCUGGUCUGAGAGGAUGACCAGCCACAAUGGAACUGAGACACGGUCCAGACUCCUACGGGAGGCAGCAGUGGGGAAUAUUGCACAAUGGGCGAAAGCCUGAUAGAGCCAUGCCGCGUGUAUGAAGAAGGCCUUCGGGUUGUAAAGUACUGUCAGCGGGGAGGCGUUACCCGCAGAAGAAGCACCGGCUAACUCCGUGCCAGCAGCCGCGGUAAUAC
rnacentral:rRNA from 1 species